rnacentral:lncRNA from 1 species
GUUGGCUGCGCGUAUUGUCAUUUCAUUUUUUCUUUGUCAAAGGUAUUAAUUUUGCAAAUUAUUCAAAAUAUCGUUUUUAUCAGAUUACCAGGUUUGCGUUCAAUAUCGUAGCGGCUACGUAGUUCGACGUAGAUUUAUUGACUAUUGAACGAGUAGCUAGCCUAGCUACUAUCAAUAUCUAUGUAGCUAGGCUAGCUACACGUGCAAUAGUCAUAAAUCUACGUAGCCGCUAUAUUGUUAAACACAACCCUGUUUUAUUAUUCAUCCAAUUAUCUGUGUUUACCUACGUUUAAAUAUGGUAUUGUGUAAUAGAUCAAACUUAUUCGUUCAGUGCAUGUUUAUUUGUUUUUGUUUAAAGGUCUUUUUGUUUCGAGUGAAGUCUUUUUCGUUGAAAUUUUAUAAUGUGCCUUUUAUUUUGUAAUGUUACACUACUGUUCGGGGCUAGAGUGAAGGUUAGUGCUUGUUAAACCGUUUAAUUUCACUCAAAUUUUACGCACUUGUCUUACGUAAGGUGACAGUAGUUGGUUAGUGUGGUAAAAGGAUGUAUUCUUCUGACUUGUCAGUCUCAUUCAAUCUCGUUGAAAUCUCGUUCUUGAAUUAUUUCCAAAACAUGCGAUACAAGUGGAAAAUAUCAAUGAAUUUUAAAAAUAUUAUAAUCAAACAUAACUCUGUGAAAAAAACUGUGUAUCUACAAUGAAUGCUUUUUGAGUAAUCCAGUUUUCAAAUUUUAUGACCAAUCAAGUCUGUAUCAAAUCGUGAUACAUAUCGCAAGAUAAACCUCCCACUUACAUGACAGUUGUUUAUGUGCGAGCAAGCAAAAUCAGCUAAUUUACUACUGAACAAUUAAAAAAAUCUUGAUUCUGAAAUUUGAGAUUCAUAUUGUCACAACUAGUGUGUCGACUGUGACAACGCUUAGUACUAUGGUUUGGUGGUUAUGGAACAUAACUUGCAGUAUAGUUGUAUAUGUAGCAGUGGAAUAAGGAU